CAUUCCCACAUGCUCAUAGGGGUCAAAAUUAAGACCCGCUAAUUGAACAGAUUUAAGGAUGCACACACUGCAAUACUGCAACAAUCACUUCUAAUACCGAGACACUUCGCAGAGUCUUUCGCGGAGUCAAAGCUCUCGCAAGUCCACAAGACAACCUUGCUCUGCCUAAGUGACCAGUCCACCAACAUAUGAUAACCUCGAUUCUCGAAAUGACAUUAUGCAGAGAUCAAUACUACGUCACUUAGGUCUCUCCACCAAAACUAUUACAUUACCAUUUUGAGCACCACAAACUAGCAACUUAUGGGAAUUCCAACUCUCUCUUGAUUCUGCUAUCUCCACUAAUGUAAUAUCCCACAUCAGCCAAACGGAGAGGGGUUAUGUGCUGUAUAUGUACAUGCCCACCUCCAAUCUAAUACGAGGCCUUUUGGUGGCUCAGCGGCUUCGGAGGGGAUGGGUACUCCGAGGUUAAGCAUGUUGAUGCUAGAGCAAUCCCAGGAUGGGUGACCUAUUGGGAAGCUGCUCCUGAGCUGCCGGAAACAAAACCGUGAGGGCCGAUGGGCCCAAAGCGGACAAUAUCCUGUUACGGCGGAAUGGGUCCUGGGAUGUGACAAAUUGACACGACCCACCCCGAAUUUCACCCUGAAACCCAGAGUAAGUCGUGCGGGGACCACCUCCAAGGAAAAUUUACUGAAAAGAUUAAGAAAAUCUCCCUUGUAGAUGGACAACCCUAACUCGAAAAUUUCAUAUUACACUCUUAAUUUAACACUUCUGAACAUCCCAUAAUAUACAAAAAUUCUAAAGUAUUCAGAGCUACUAAACACAAGCGGAAGCAAGAAAACACGAGUAGGUUGAACAGGUAACCUACUGGCGAAAACUGGCAGAAAUACGGGUGACUAUGCCUCGUCUCCUACUAGAUCCAACCCGAACUCUGCAGACUGGGCAAUUUAAAACGAAGGGCCCAGGGGAAAACAUUUAAUAACGUCAGAGUGAGUGGACAAAAAUAAAAUAAUAAAUAAAAUAUUUAUGUUUCCCCAAAUUAAUUUCUAAGGAAAAAUCGAAUGCAUGCCGCAAGCGAUAAACUUUUAUCUCAUAAAAUAUCGAGCCUCUCAGACUCUAUAAUAUAUGUAUGUAUUUACACUCGUCCAUACUCCCUAUAUAAAUUCAUGGGUCUAUAUAGGGCUACUACGCUCGCGUCCAACGCUCACGUCACGCCUUAAUGCGGUGCUACACUACGCCAUCAAGGUGGACAGACGGGUGUAUAAAUAU
rnacentral:lncRNA from 1 species